rnacentral:rRNA from 1 species
GUGGGGAAUAUUGGACAAUGGGGGGAACCCUGAUCCAGCCAUGCCGCGUGUGUGAAGAAGGCCUUUUGGUUGUAAAGCACUUUAAGCGAGGAGGAGGCUACCGAGAUUAAUACUCUUGGAUAGUGGACGUUACUCGCAGAAUAAGCACCGGCUAACUCUGUGCCAGCAGCCGCGGUAAUACAGAGGGUGCAAGCGUUAAUCGGAUUUACUGGGCGUAAAGCGCGCGUAGGUGGCUAAUUAAGUCAAAUGUGAAAUCCCCGAGCUUAACUUGGGAAUUGCAUUCGGUACUGGUUGGCUAGAGUAUGGGAGAGGAUGGUAGAAUUCCAGGUGUAGCGGUGAAAUGCGUAGAGAUCUGGAGGAAUACCGAUGGCGAAGGCAGCCAUCUGGCCUAAUACUGACACUGAGGUGCGAAAGCAUGGGGAGCAAACAGGAUUAGAUACCCGGGUAGUCC